GACGAACGCUGGCGGCGUGCCUAAUACAUGCAAGUAGAACGCUGAAGGCGGAGUUUGCUUCUCCGGAUGAGUUGCGAACGGGUGAGUAACGCGUUGGUAACCUGCCUGGUAGCGGGGGAUAACUAUUGGAAACGAUAGCUAAUACCGCAUAACAGUAGAUGUUGCAUGACAUUUGCUUAAAUGGUGCAAUUGCAUCAGUACCAGCUGGACCUGCGUUGUAUUAGCUAGUUGGUGAGGUAACGGCUCACCAAGGCGACGAUACAUAGGCGACCUGAGAGGGGGGUCGGCCACACGGGGACGGAGACACGGCCCAUAGUCCUACGGGAGGGAGCAGUAGGCAAUGUUCGGCAAUGGACGGAAGUCUGACCGAGCGACGCGGCGUGAGUGAAGAAGGUUUUCGGAGCGGGAAGCUCUGUUGUAAGUGAUGAACGGGUGUGAGUGUGGAAAGUUCACACUGUGACGGUAUCGUACCAGAAAGCGACGGCUAACUACGUG
rnacentral:rRNA from 1 species